ensembl:lncRNA
GCUCGAGCCGCGGACAGAAAGAGAUGGUUGAUCUAUGGUGGAAAAGCUAACGCGACAGUAGCAGCGUUUUGUGGAGAAAUUCGGAGAUUUGAUAUUGAGAGAUUGAAGGCUGUGAACCCUCGUGAGCUGGAAUUCCCCUUGCUGCGCGUGGUGCUUAGCAUGGUCGGGGUUUUUUUUUGGAUCGGAUUUGGAAAUCUUGAGAAGAACCAAGGAUCAACUUCCAGCACUUGAUGCUGCAGACCCUCCUCUGGUCACCAUGACGAUCCUCCACAUGAAGGUUAAACCAUCCAGCUGCUGAUGGACAGAAUCUGAUGUUCUCUGCUUCGGUUUGACCUCCAUGAAAGCUACAGAAGAGUCCAGAUGAGAAAAACAUCAUUACCUGGUCUCCUGUUCAACCAUCCAGCUCUGCCCUGGGCGACGUAAAGCUUCCUACUGGUCCACUUAAACGGCUCUAACCUGCCAUCAGGAGGAAGAGUCGGUCUGGCGUCAGAUCAGGAGUCUUGGCUCCGACCUUGGAGGUGCAAAGCUCUCGCCUCCUCUGCAGCCUCGGGGAGGAUUUCUGCCUCUGUGCUUUCUUUAAAACCAGCUCCAACCCAAAGAAAGACGAUCGACCGACACUCCAGAGAUGCCUCC